UACGUAGGGGGCAAGCGUUGUCCGGAAUCAUUGGGCGUAAAGAGCGUGUAGGCGGCUCGAUAAGUCCGCUGUGAAAGUCCAGGGCUCAACCCUGGAAGGCCGGUGGAAACUGUCGGGCUAGAGUCCGGAAGAGGCGAGUGGAAUUCCCGGUGUAGCGGUGGAAUGCGCAGAUAUCAGGAGGAACACCGAUGGCGAAGGCAGCUCGCUGGGACGGUACUGACGCUGAGGCGCGAAAGCGUGGGGAGCGAACAGG
rnacentral:rRNA from 1 species